UAUUCCUAGAUCCUGUGUUCCAUCUAUCCCAGUGUCGAACAAACAAGUGAUCGUAUACGUGAACAUUUGAAGGUCCCUUAACUAACGAAUUAUCCACUGAACUAAAAACGAUUCUAUAGUGGUUGUUCUUUUCUCCGAUCCUUAUAUCAGAUAUUGAAGAGUUAUGAUUAUAUAUGAUACGCUCUGAUCGAUUGUUAACGUCAAAAAGAAGGAUACUCGAUGAGCUAGAAUUAUCUUCUCUUGCAUAUAAAAAAGCUGAAUCAGUAAUCCAUGUGAGCGCUUUGUUUGAUUUGCCGUGUACUAAAAGCUCUUGAUGGUUUCUAGUGCUUUCAUUCAAAAGGUAAAUUCCAGAGUUAUAUUUGUGAUCAGCAAAGGAAUAAUUCGAUUCUAUAAAUAUUCCAAGAUUCCCUAAAGGAUUGCUAACUACUGCUGACCUUCUAGGAGCUUCUAGCAUGGAUUCCGCAUCAAAUGCAGCCUUGUCAGCUGCAGUUAGCGUCAUUACCAGGAAAAAAACUAGCUGCUUGAAAAGACUAUGCAUCCAAAAAAAUAUAUUCUUUGACCAGAGUGAGGUGAAUUCUAAGGAAUUUGCAUGAAGGGGAAAGGAAAUUUAUCUUGCAAAGAUUACCAACCCAUCUGACGAAGAUAUGAUUAUAUAUGAUGACUUUAUAAACUCCCAGCAUAGUGUUAGCGUGCAGCCCUUUGUAAAGCGUUGGGCUGCGUUUGUACUGAUAGGUGAUGGUUUAAAUUCAUGUUACAAUAAUAACAAUUUCUUUAUUAUUGAAUAUUUCUAAAACAAUUUUCAUCAGUAUAUUUAACUUGAAAUACCAAGACAUCUCAACAAAACAUGUUAUUGGGCAAAUAGUCAUAGUGAAUAUCUGCUAACUUAUAAUCUUUAUCCUAUUAAUGUCAGUUAUGGUAAAUCUCUGAUAAUAUUUGUUUAAAUAGACAUCAUUUUAUAGUCUUAUAAAAAUUUUACAGAUCUUCAACUUCUACCGAAUAAUGAGAAUUGAAGAACUUUAAUGAACCCAUCAGUUAUUUCUAAAAAGU